GGGCCGUUAGCUCAAUUGGUAGAGCUGCGGACUUUUAAUCCGUAGGUUCUGGGUUCGAGCCCCAGGCGGCCCACCA
rnacentral:tRNA from 34 species